rnacentral:rRNA from 1 species
ACGGUGGAUGCCUUGGCACUAGGAGCCGAAGAAGGACGGAACGAACACCGAAAUGCUUUGGGGAGCUGUAAGUAAGCGAAGAACCAGAGAUAUCCGAAUGGGGGAACCCAGCAUGAGAAGUCAUGUUAUCCAUAUGCAUAGAGCAUAUGAGAAGGUAGACCCGGAGAACUGAAACAUCUAAGGACCCGGAGGAAGAGAAAACAAU